rnacentral:rRNA from 1 species
GAUGAACGCUGGCGGCGUGCCUAAUACAUGCAAGUCGAGCGAAUGGAUUAAGAGCUUGCUCGUAUGAAGUUAGCGGCGGACGGGUGAGUAACACGUGAGUAACCUGCCCAUAAGACUGGGAUAACUCCGGAAAACCGGGGCUAAUACCGGAUCACAUUUUGAACCGCAUGGUUCGAAAUUGAAAGGCGGCUUCGGCUGUCACUUAUGGAUGGACCCGCGUCGCAUUAGCUAGUUGGUGAGGUAACGGCUCACCAAGGCAACGAUGCGUAGCCGACCUGAGAGGGUGAGCGGCCACACUGGGACUGAGACACGGCCCAGAAUCCUACGGGAGGCAGCAGUAGGGAAUCUUCCGCAAUGGACGAAAGUCUGACGGAGCAACGCCGCGUGAGUGAUGAAGGCUUUCGGGUCGUAAAACUCUGUUGUUAGGGAAGAACAGGUGCUAGUUGAAUAAGCUGGCACCUUGACGGUACCUAACCAGAAAGCCACGGCUAACUUCGUGCCAGCAGCCGCGGUAA